UGCCAGCAGCCGCGGUAAGACGUAGGAUGCAAGCGUUGUCCGGAAUUAUUGGGCGUAAAGAGUUCGUAGGCGGCAUAUCAAGUCUGAUGUUUAAGACCGAGGCUCAACCUCGGAAAAGCAUUGGAUACUGAUAAGCUAGAGUACAGUAGAGGCAAGGGGAAUUCCCAGUGUAGCGGUGAAAUGCGUAGAUAUUGGGAGGAACACCAGUGGCGUAAGCGCCUUGCUGGGCUGUUACUGACGCUGAGGAACGAAAGCCAGGGGAGCAAAUGGGAUUAGAUA
rnacentral:rRNA from 1 species